GGGUCAAUGGUGUAGUGGUAUCAUUCAUCAUUUGGGUUGAUGAGGCCCCGGGUUCAAAUCCCGGUUGACCCC